GGACGGGUGAGUAACNCGUAGGUNACCUGCCCAGAAGCGGGGGACAACAUUUGGAAACAGAUGCUAAUACCGCAUAACAACGUUGUUCGCAUGAACAACGCUUAAAAGAUGGCUUCUCGCUAUCACUUCUGGAUGGACCUGCGGUGCAUUAGCUGGUUGGUAGGGUAACGGCCUACCNAGGCGAUGAUGCNUAGCCGAGUUGAGAGACUNAUCGGCCACNAUGGGACUGAGACACGGCCUAUACUCCUACGGGAGGCAGCAGUAGGGAAUCUUCCACAAUGGGCGCAAGCCUGAUGGAGCAACACCGCGUGAGUGAAGAAGGGUUUCGGCUCGUAAAGCUCUGUUGUUAAAGAAGAACACGUAUGAGAGUAACUGUUCAUACGUUGACGGUAUUUAACCAGAAAGUCACGGCUAACUACGUGCCAGCAGCCGCGGUAAUACGUAGGUG
rnacentral:rRNA from 2 species